GACGAACGCUGGCGGCGUGCUUAACACAUGCAAGUCGAACGGAAAGGCCCUGCUUGUGGGGGGUGCUCGAGUGGCGAACGGGUGAGUAACACGGGAGUAACCUGCCCUUGACUGUGGGAUAACUUCAGGAAACUGGGGCUAAUACCGGAGAGGAGCUCCUGCUGCAGGGGGGGGGUUGGAAAGUGUCGGCGGUUGGGGAUGGACUCGCGGCUUAUCCGCUUGUUGGUGGGGGAGUGGCUUACCAAGGCUUUGACGGGGAGCCGGCCGGAGAGGGUGACCGGCCCCCUUGGGCCUGACAUACGGCCCAGUCUCCUACGUGCGGCAGCCGUGGGGAAUAUUGCCCAAUGGGCGUACGCCUGCUGCAGCCACGCCGCGUGCGGGCUGCCUCCCUUCUGUUUGUCAACCGCUUUCGCCUGUGACGCCGCGUGAGUGACGGUAAUGGGUGACGAAGCCCCGGCUCCCUACGUG
rnacentral:rRNA from 1 species